rnacentral:rRNA from 1 species
AGUGAGCGCUGGCGGUAGGCCUAACACAUGCCAGUCGAACGGCAGCACAGUAAGAGCUUGCUCUUACGGGUGGCGAGUGGCGGACGGGUGAGGAAUACAUCGGAAUCUACUUUUUCGUGGGGGAUAACGUAGGGAAACUUACGCUAAUACCGCAUACGACCUACGGGUGAAAGCAGGGGAUCUUCGGACCUUGCGCGAUUGAAUGAGCCGAUGUCGGAUUAGCUAGUUGGCGGGGUAAAGGCCCACCAAGGCGACGAUCCGUAGCUGGUCUGAGAGGAUGAUCAGCCACACUGGAACUGAGACACGGUCCAGACUCCUACGGGAGGCAGCAGUGGGGAAUAUUGGACAAUGGGCGCAAGCCUGAUCCAGCCAUACCGCGUGGGUGAAGAAGGCCUUCGGGUUGUAAAGCCCUUUUGUUGGGAAAGAAAGGCAGCAGGUUAAUACCCCGCUGUUCUGACGGUACCCAAAGAAUAAGCACCGGCUAACUUCGUG